GGUAGCGUGGCCGAGCGGUCUAAGGCGUGGUUUCUGGUUUAAGGCACCAGUCUCUCCGGAGGCGUGGGUUCCCCACCGCUGCCA